rnacentral:rRNA from 1 species
AUUGAACGCUGGCGGCAGGCCUAACACAUGCAAGUCGAGCGGCAGCGGGAAAGUAGCUUGCUACUUUUGCCGGCGAGCGGCGGACGGGUGAGUAAUGCCUGGGAAAUUGCCCAGUCGAGGGGGAUAACAGUUGGAAACGACUGCUAAUACCGCAUACGCCCUACGGGGGAAAGCAGGGGACCUUCGGGCCUUGCGCGAUUGGGUAUGCCCAGGUGGGAGUAGCUAGUUGGUGAGGUAAUGGCUCACCAAGGCGACGAUCCCUAGCUGGUCUGAGAGGAUGAUCAGCCACACUGGAACUGAGACACGGUCCAGACUCCUACGGGAGGCAGCAGUGGGGAAUAUUGCACAAUGGGGGAAACCCUGAUGCAGCCAUGCCGCGUGUGUGAAGAAGGCCUUCGGGUUGUAAAGCACUUUCAGCGAGGAGGAAAGGUUGAUGCCUAAUACGUAUCAACUGUGACGUUACUCGCAGAAGAAGCACCGGCUAACUACGUGCCAGCCGCCGCCGUAA